CCAUAUGGAUUUCCUCACAUGUACUAUCAGGAAUAUCCCCCAGAGCAAGAUCACAGAGAUGACGAAUGAGUACCCAUGUAUGUAGGAUUCGACGUUACAAUGUGAGUCAUCAACAAUUUCCGGUCGGUCGUAAGGUUUUCCUGUUGGAAAACACCGAAAUAAAAAUUUUAGAGUAUAUUUUGUGUUAACUAUUUGAGACUUGUAUUAUUUGAACCUAUAAAUUGUGUUAACAAGCUGAACCUAUAUUUUAUUGCAUUUGGAUUGUGGUUUGUAUUGAUAUACAUAUGUUUUACGUCAAUUCUAUUAAUAUUUGCUUUGUAA